rnacentral:rRNA from 1 species
GCCGUGAGUAGUCUUCUUGGAACGGUGGGUAUAACGAGAGUCACACACGUCUGUCCUGUCUUAUUCGUUGACUUGACUUGACCACCUCUACGAACUCAACUACUUGACUUCCCAGAGAUCUACGGAUAAAUAUGUGCUCUCACCGUGAGCUGUCAACACAACUAAGGUAACGUAAACGUACGUACUUGGACAUAUACAAGUAGUGUGACAAUCAUCAACCGAUAGUUAAUUACCGAAGCUAAGCAGGUCGAUCGGUCCGUACUGCCACUAGACGAGCGUGAGAGCUGGUUCGAAGGUGACGAAGAAAGACAUGCCUUACCUUAUGAGAGGCCAGGGCUUCUAAAUUAACACUAGCCGCGAACGGUUGAUGAGCCACAUGAAUUUGAUACGUAGCUCGACCUAAACUACGAGACUGAGGUCUUAUCUUAAACCCUUUAGGUUAACUUUGUACCACCCCAUACAAAAGAACGAAGAUGACCUUAGACCUCCGGGACCUACUAGGGUUGGGUAAAAUGAGAACGUAAAAAAAACACAAUGACUUCGACACAAAACCAGGUUGACCUUCCACCACUAAGCCAGACGAAAACGAUGUUCAGAUUGUGGACAUUUGCAGCACGUAAAGUAGAAAUCUAUUUACACUUGUUCCUUAAAACGAAUAAUGGUGUCUAAACACAACGUAUAAAAAAAACUGUCAUAACACGACGUUUUCAAAGUCAAGGAAAACUAAGCAAAGAUGGAAGUAGUUACUUUAUGUUGUGAAUUCCGACAGAAAACCAUUUUUUUUGUAAGAUCACAACAUCACGUAUAGGACAUUGAAAACACAACCAGACUUAAUGAAUGUCAUCUUAUGAUG